rnacentral:rRNA from 1 species
CCUACGGGGGGCUGCAGUGGGGAAUAUUGCGCAAUGGGCGAAAGCCUGACGCAGCGACGCCGCGUGAGGGAUGAAGGCCUUCGGGUCGUAAACCUCUGUCAGGAGGGAAGAACCGCCAUGGUGCUAAUCAGCCAUGGUCUGACGGUACCUCCAAAGGAAGCACCGGCUAACUCCGUGCCAGCAGCCGCGGUAAUACGGAGGGUGCAAGCGUUAAUCGGAAUCACUGGGCGUAAAGCGCACGUAGGCUGUUUGGUAAGUCAGGGGUGAAAUCCCGC